rnacentral:rRNA from 1 species
GACGAACGCUGGCGGCGUGCUUAACACAUGCAAGUCGAACGGAAAGGCCCUGCUUGCGGGGUGCUCGAGUGGCGAACGGGUGAGUAACACGUGGGUGAUCUGCCCUGCACUUCGGGAUAAGCCUGGGAAACUGGGUCUAAUACCGGAUAGGAGCCAUUUUUAGUGUGAUGGUUGGAAAGUUUUUUCGGUGUAGGAUGAGCUCGCGGCCUAUCAGCUUGUUGGUGGGGUAAUGGCCUACCAAGGCGGCGACGGGUAGCCGGCCUGAGAGGGUGGACGGCCACAUUGGGACUGGGAGACGGCCCAGACUCCCACGGGGGGCAGCAGUGGGGAAUAAUUGAAAAUGGGCGCAAGCCUGAUGCAGCGACGGCGCGGGGGGGAUGACGGCCUUCGGGUUGGAAACUCCUUUCGCUAGGGACGAAGCUGUUUGUGACGGUACCUAGAUAAGAAGCACCGGCUAACUACGUG